UGCAAACUAGAUGAAACUUUACAGAAAUGAUAACUGGCAUGGGCAGAAUUGCAUUUUGGAGUUAGAAAUUUCAAAAUGGCCGCCGUAACCAUGGAAAUGACUAAAAUGUCAAAAAUUUCAAAAUGCUCCAAACUUAAUAAAACUUUACAAAAAUCAUAAUUUCCAUGUGUAGAUACGCUCUUUGACUUUGGAAAUUUCAAAAUGGCUGCCUUUUUCCUGGCAAUGGGGGGACGAGGGUGCCAUCCGUUAUUGCUAGCAAUUACAAAUCUAGUUAUUAUUAUAUUUAUUCUUCCACACUUUUUUGUCCAUACUAUUUCUCAGAAUUGGCGUAAACAAUAUUGAUGGAACUAUACCAUAAUGUUGACCACCACAUUAAAUAGUGCAGUGAGGUAUGGCAUCAUCAAGAUGGCUGCCAUUGCCAUGGAAACGAAACAAAUGUGAAAAAUUUCUGUUUUUUGUUUUGGUGAACUGUUUGAAUAUGCUUACACUCAGAAUCAUCAUAUUUUAAUACAAUGUAGGUGCCCACUAUAUACAGGUGUUGGAUGAUUUUGGCACACAUUGGACCUACUAUGUUGCCAUGGAAACUACACCAAAAAUUUCAAAAAUAUCAAAAUGCUCAAAACUUAAUGAAACUUCACAGUAACGAUGAGCAACAUUGGAAGAUGUGGAAUUUGGCGUUGGAAUUUCCAAAAUAUCUGUUGUUACCAUGAAAACAAUGCAAAAAGGUCAAAACUUUGAAUUUUCACAGAACAUUCCAGAACAUCAAUGUUAAAUUUAUUCUAGAGACAUUAAAUGGUAUAUGAUGGUAUAUAUGAUUAUGGAGGGAAAAAAUUGCAGCGGGGGUUUGACUUUGGAAUAUUCAAAAUGGCCGCCGUUACCAUGGGAACAGCAAAAUUAUGAAAAACUUCAAAAUGCUUUAAAUUUAAUGAAACUUAUAACAAAUUUUGCCUAGCUUAUGUAGACUUAACUUUUGAGUUUCUAAUUUUCAAAAUGGCCGCCGUUGCCAUGGAAACAGCAAACAUUUUCUAAAUAGCUGCCGCUGGCUUGGCAAUAGGGAAAGGGUGCCAUCCGCUAUUGCUUGCAAUGGCAAAUCUAGUUUUUAUGGCACCCUCAACGGAGUUGGGGUGACAUAUUGUUAUUGUUCGUUUCUUUUUAUGGCACCCUCAACGGAGUUGGGGUGACGUAUUGUUAUUCUACGUUUCUUUUUUUUCUUAUUAUUAUUAUUUUUCUUGCAACACAUUUUGUCCAGGCGAUUUCUCCAAAUCUAAAGUACCAAAGUUGAUGGAACUUAACUAUAUUAAGGACCCCCAUGUGCAGAGUUGCAGGAAGCAUGGAAUGGUUCAAGAUGGCUGCCGUUUCCAUGGAAACAGAACAAAUGUGAAAAAAUCCAGUUUUUUGUUUUGGUGAACUGUUUGGAUAUGCUUUAACUCAGAAUCAUUAUAUUUAAAUACAGUGGAGCUGCCCACUAUAUACAGGUGUUGGGUGAUUUUGGCACUCAUUGGAACUACUAUGUUGCCAUGGAAACUACACCAAAAAUUCCAAAAAUAUGGAAAUGCUCCAAAUUUUUUGAAACUUCACAGUAACGAUGAGCAACAUUGGAAGAUGUGGAAUUUGGCGUUGGAAUUUCCAAAAUAUCUGUUGUUACCAUGGAAAUAAUGCAAAAAGGUCAAAACUUUGAAUUUUCACAGAACAUUCCAGAACAUCAAUGUUAAAUUUAUUCUAGAGACAUUAAAUGGUAUAUGAUGGUAUAUAUGAUUAUGGAGGGAAAAAACUGCACUUUUGGAAUAUUCAAAAUGGCCGCCGUUACCAUGGGAACAGCAAAAAUUAUGAAAAACUUCAAAAUGCUUUAAAUUUAAUGAAACUUAUAACAAAUGUUGCCUAGCUUAUGUAGACUUAACUUUUGAGUUUCGAAUUUUCAAAAUGGCCGCCGUUGCCAUGGAAACAGCAAAAAUAUUCUAAAUGGCUGUCGCUGGCCUGGCAAUGGGGAAAGGGUGCCAUCCGCUAUUGCUUGCAAUGGCAAAUCUAGUUUCUUAUUAUUAUUAUUAUAUUUAUUCUUCCACACUUUUUUGUCCAUUCUAUUUCUCGGAAUUGGCUUGAACAAUAUUGAUGGAACUAUACCAUAAUGUAGACCACCACAUUCUAUAGUGCAGUGGGGUAUGGCACCAUCAAGAUGGCUGCCGUUGCCAUGGAAACGAAACAAAUGUGAAAAAUUUCUGUUUUUUGUUUUGGUGAACUGUUUGAAUAUGCUUAAACUCAGAAUCAUCAUAUUUCAAUACAAUGAAGGUGCCCACUAUAUACAGGUGUUGGAUGAUUUUGGCACUCAUUGGACCUACUAUGUUGCCAUGGAAACUAAACCAAAAAUUUCAAAAAUAUCAAAAUGCUCCAAACUUUAUGAAACUUCACAGUUACGAUGAGCAACAUUGGAAGAUGUGGAAUUUGGCGUUGGAAUUUCCAAAAUAUCUGUAGAUACCAUGGAAACAAUGCAAAAAGGUCAAAACUUUGAAUUUUCACAGAACAUUCCAGAACAUCAAUGUUAAAUGUAUUCUAGAGACAUUAAAUGGUAUAUGAUGGUAUAUAUGAUAAUGGAGGGGGGAAAUUGCAGCGGGGGUUUGACUUUGGAAUAUUCAAAAUGGCCGCCGUUACCAUGGGAACAGCAAAAAUUUCAAAAAUUUCAAAGUUCUCCAAACUUAAUGAAACUUUUCAAAAUUGACAAUUGGCAUGAGUAGAUGCACUCUAUGAUUUUGGAAUUUUCAAAAUGGCUGCCGCUCGCCUGGCAAUGGGGGAAGGGUGCCAUCCGCUAUUGCUUGCAAUGGCAAAUCUAGUUCUUAUUUUUAUUCUUCCACACAUUUUGUCCACGCUAUUUCUCGGAAUUGGUCAGACCAAUGUUGAUGGAACUAUACCAUAAUAUGAACCUCCAUGUGAAGUUGUGCAAGAGACAUUGGAAUGGUAAAAAAUGGCCGCCGUUACCAUGGAAACUGCAAAAAUGUAAAAAAAAAUCCAAAUUCUAAAUCUUUUAUUAUAAGAGCCAACCUAAUGAAACUUUAUGUAAAUGUUGGCAGUGGUGCCCUGAGGUACCAACACGACUUAGCUUCUGCAAAAUCUGUACCAUUGCCAUGGAAACUGGAGAAAAGUUUAACAUUGAACCUAUGGGAAAAAACUUCAAACCAGCCUUUUCUAAAGGAAUAUAAGAUCAAACUCAAAGAAACUUUAUGUAUAUAUAACAUGGCAUAAGUCGAUAUUGAAACUGUUGUUGGAAUUUUCAAAAUGGACACCGUUACCAUGGAAACAGCAAAAAUGUCCAAAAAUCUCAAAAUGCUUCAAACUAAAUAAAACUCAUUAGAAAUGACCAAUGGUAAGUAAAGAUUAGACUUUUGAUUUCAGAAUUUCCAAAAUGGCCGCCGUUGCCAUGGAAACAACAAAAAUUUCAAAAUCUUCAAAAUGCUCCAAAAUUGAGGAAACUUAACAACAAUGUUAUUAAACAUCUGUAGAUGCGGUCUUUAACUUUGGAAUUUUCAAACUGCCUGCAGUUUAGUGGCAAUGUGGGAAGGGUGCCAUCCGCUAUUGCUUGCAAUGGCAAAUCUAGUUAUGGCACCCUCAACGGAGUUGGGGUGACAUAUUGUUAUUCAUCGUUUCUUUUUUUUCUUAUUAUUUUUAUUUUUCUUCCACACAUUUUGUCCGCGCGAGUUCUCAGAAUUGAACGGACCAAUGUUUAUGGAACUCAACUAUAAUGAGGAACCCCAUUUGAAGUUAUGCACCUUGCUAUGGAAUGGUAAAAGAUGGCCGCCGUUUCCAUGGAAACAGCACAAAUGCGAAAAAAAUCAAAGUGUUCCAAACUGGAAGAAACUCCACAGGAAUGUUAACUGGCAUGUGCUGAUUUCCAGUUUGACUUUGGAAUUUUCAAAAUGGCUGCCGUUACCAUGGAAACAGCUAAAAUAUCAAAAAUUCGAACUCUUUCGUUAUAAGAUCCAACUGGAUGAAACUUUAUGAAAAUGUUCUCCAGUAUGCCAAGGUGUCAAGACAAUAUUUGGAUAGUUCAAAAUGGCCGCCGUUGUCAUGGAAACAGGGGCCAAGUUUUGCAUUGACCCUAUGGAAAAAUGCAUAAAAUCAGCAUUUUCUCAGAGAGUAGUGCACCAAAGUAAAUGAAACUGUAUUGAUAUAUAACAUGACAUGUGGCAAUGAGAUGUACGCUUUUAGAAUUUUGGAAUUAUCUACUGUAACCAUGGUUGCAGCACAAAUGUUCAAAAUUUCCCAAAAAAAUUAAGUACUGCAAACUGGAUGAAACUUUACAAGAAUAGUGACUGGCAUGUGCGGAGUUGCAUUUUGAAGUUGGAAUUUCCAAAAUGGCCGCCGUAACCAUGGAAACAGCAAAAUUGUCCAAAAUUUCAAAAUGCUCCAAACUCAAUGAAAUUUUGCAAAAAUGAUAAUUUGCAAGUGUAGAUGCACUCUUUGACUUUGGAAUUUCCAAAAUGGCUGCCGCUCGCCUGGCAAUGGGGGGACGAGGGUGCCAUCCGUUAUUGCUAGCAAUUACAAAUCUAGUUAUUAUUUUUAUUCUUCUACACUUUUCUCACAGUUCUCGGAAUUGGAUGGACCAAUCUUGAUGGAACUAUGCUAUAAUGUUGUCCACCAUGUGAAGUUGUGCACCUGACUUUGGAAUGUGCAAGAUGGCCGCGGUUACCAUGGAAACUAAAAAAAUGUAAAAGAAAAUCAAAAUUCUAACUCUUUCGUUAUAAGAGCCAACCUUAUGAAACUUUGUGCAAAUGUUGGUGGUGGGGCCCCGAGGUACCAACAAUACUUAGAAAUUCCAAAAUGGCUGCCAUUGCCAUGGAAACAGGCGAAAUGUUUAACUUAGAACAUUCCAGAACAUCAAUGUUAAAUUUAUUCUAGAAACAUUUUGUGUUAAAUGAUGGUAUAUAAUUAUGAUGAGAACAAAUUGUAGCAGCAGGUUAACUUUGGAAUUUUCAAAAUGGCCGCCGUUACCAUGGAAACAGCAAAAAUACGAAAAACUUCAAAAUGCUUCAAAUUUAUUGAAACUUGUAACAAAUGUUGCUUAGCUAAUGUAGACUUGACUUUUGAGUUUGGAAUUUCCAAAAUGGCCGCCGUUACCAUGGAAAUUUCAAAUUUGGAAUUUUAAAAAUGGCUGCCGCUCACCUGGCAAUAGGGGAAGGGUGCCAUCCGCUAUUGCUUGCAAUCGCAAAUCUAGUUAUGUCACCCGAUCGACAAUGUCGGGUGACAUAUUGCUUUUCCUCUGUUUCUUUUUCUGUAUUAUUAUGGCACCCUCAACGGAGUUGGGGUGACAUAUUGUUAUUGUUCGUUUCUUUUUUUUAUGGCACCCUCAACGGAGUUGGGGUGACAUAUUGUUAUUGUUCGUUUCUUUUUUGCAGUGGGGUAUGGCACCAUCAAGAUGGCUGCCGUUGCCAUGGAAACGAAACAAAUGUGAAAAAAUCCUGUUUUUUGUUUUGGUGAACUGUUUUGAUAUGCUUAAACUCAGAACCAUUAUAUUUUGAUACAAUGUUGGUGCCGGCCAUAUACAGGUGUUGGAUGAUUUUGGCACUCAUUGGAACUACUAUGUUGCCAUGGAAACUAUACCAAAAAUUUCAAAAAUCUCAAAAUGUUCCAAACUUCAUGAAGCUUCACAGUAACGAUGAGCAACAUUGGAAGAUGUGGAAUUUGGCGUUAGAAUUUCCAAAAUAUCUGUUGUUACCAUGGAAACAAUGCAAAAAGGUCAAAAAUUUCAAAAAAAAUAAAAAUGCUGUAAACUGGAUGAAACUUUACAGGAAUGGUCACUGGCAUAAGCAAAGUUGACAUUUGAAGUUGGAAUUUUCAAAAUGGCCGCCGUAACCAUGGAAACAGCAAAAAUGUCAAAAACUUCAAAAUGCUCCAAACUUAAUGAAACUUAACAAAUAUGAUAAUUUGAAUGUGUAGAUGCACACUUUGACUUUGGAAUUUUCUAGAUUGCUGCCACUCGCCUGGCAAUGUGGGAAGGGUGCCAUCCGCUAUUGCUUGCAAUGGCAAAUCUAGUUCUUAUUAUUUUUAUUAUUUUUAUUCUUCCACACUUUUUGUCCAAGACAGUUCUCGGAAAUGGAUGGACCAAUCUUGAUGAAACUAUGUUAUAAUGUUGUCCACCAUGUGAAGUUGUGCACCUGACUUUGGAGUGUGCAAGAUGGCCGCGGUUACCAUGGAAACUAAAAAAAUGUAAAAGAAAAUCAAAAUUCUAAAUCUUUCGUUAUAAGAGCCAACCUAAUGAAACUUUAUGUAAAUGUUGGCAAUGGUGCCCUGAGGUACCAACAGUACUUAGCUUCUGCAAAAUCUCUACCAUUGCCAUGGAAACUGGAGAAAAGGUUAACAUCGAACCUAUGGGGAAAAACAUCAAACCAGCCCUUUCUGAAGGAAUAUAAGAUGAAAUUCAAAGAAACUUUAUGAAUAUAUAACAUGGCAUAAGUCGAUGUUGAAACUGUUGUUGGAAUUUUCGAAAUGGACACCGUUACCAUGGAAACAGCAAAAAUGUCAAAAAAUAUCAAAAUGC
rnacentral:lncRNA from 1 species